rfam:Triticum aestivum genome assembly, contig: Triticum_aestivum_CS42_TGACv1_scaffold_220877_3B
UAAAUACUCCCUCCGUCCGAAAAUACUUGUCAUCAAAAUGGAUAAAAAGAGAUGUAUCUAAAACUAAAAUACGUCUAGAUACAUUUCCUUUUAUCCAUUUUGAUGAAAACUAUUUCCGGAUGGAGGGAGUAUUUG